AUGGCGAGUGACCAGUGUCUUCUCGGGACAGUGUCGUUCCAAGGAGGCAAGCACGAAGAUGAGAGCUGUGCAGAGGAACCCUGGGACCAGACAACGGAAAGGAGCAUGCCUUGCCCAGAACGUGCAGCGGCUGUCCAGCCCCCUGUCAUCUACGCCUUAAAGCCCUGUAAUGCAGACACUGCCUCCUCCAUGACCCUGGGCUGCCUGGUAAAGGACUACUUCCCUGACCCGGUGACUGUGACCUGGUAUUCGAACACCCAGAACAUGAGCACCGUGAAUUUCCCGUCCCUGAGCUCCGAACUCAUGGUCACCACCAGCCAAGUGACCACCUGGGGCAAGUCAGCCAAGAACUUCACUUGCCAGGUGGCACACGCCCCAUCCAACUUCAGCAAGAGUAAGGUGAUCAAAGCGUCACUUGUCAAUAUCACCCAGCCCACCUUGAAGCUACUCCAUUCAUCCUGUGACCGCAAUGCAUUCCACUCCACCAUCCACCUCUACUGCUUCAUUCAAGGCCACAUCCUGGAUGACAUCACUGUCACCUGGCUGAAGGAUGGACAGGAGAUGCCCAGUGCAUCUCCCAGGGUUUCCCUAAUCAAGAAGGAGGGCAAGCUAGCCUCUACCUACAGUGAACUCAACAUCACCACGGAGCAAUGGAUGUCUGAGAGCAUCUUCACCUGCAGGGUCAACUCCCAAGGCGAGGAGUAUCAGGCCUCUGCCCAAAAGUGCUCAGAGUAUGAACCACGUGGCGUAAGUGCCUACCUGAUCCCACCCAGCCCGCUGGACCUGUAUGUACACAAGUCUCCCAAGCUUACCUGCCUGGUGGUGGACCUGGAAAGCAAGGAAAACGUCACCGUGGAAUGGACCCAAGAGCAUAGGAAGCCGGCAGGCUCGGCAUCACAGAGUUCCACCAGACACCACAAUGCAACGACCAGUAUUACCUCCACCCUGCCAGUGGAUGCCAACGACUGGAUCGAAGGCGAAAGCUAUAGGUGCAGUGUGACCCUCCCUCACCUGCCCAAGUCCAUUGUGCGCAUCAUCUCCAAGGCCCCGGGCAAGCGCUCAGCCCCCGAGGUGUAUGUGUUCCCACCACCAGAGAAGGAGAAUGACGGCAAGCGCACACUCACCUGCCUGGUCCAGAACUUCUUCCCUGAGGACAUCUCAGUGCAGUGGCUGCAGGAUAAGACACUGAUCCCAAACACCCAGUACAGAACCACAGCACCCCUGAAGCCCAGUGGCUCCCGUCAUGGCUUCUUCGUCUUCAGCCGCCUAGAGGUCACAAAGGCUCAAUGGGCACAGAAUAAACAUUUCACCUGCCGAGUGAUCCAUGAGGCACUGCAAGAACACAGGAAGCUUGAGAAAACAGUGUCCAAGAUCCCUGAGCUAGACCUCCAGGACCUAUGUGCAGAAGAGCCCGAGAGCGAGGAGCUGGAGGAGUUGUGGACCAGCACCUGCAUCUUCAUCGCCCUGUUCCUGCUCAGUGUGAGCUAUGGGGCCGCUGUCACCCUCCUCAAGGUGAAGUGGGUCUUCUCCACACGGAUGCAGGAUACGCCCCAGACCCUCCACGACUAUGCCAACAUCCUCCUCGCCAGGGCAUAG